UACGAAGGGUGCAAGCGUUACUCGGAAUUACUGGGCGUAAAGCGUGCGUAGGUGGUGAGUUAAGUCUGUCGUGAAAGCCCCGGGCUCAACCUGGGAAUGGCGAUGGAUACUGGCUCGCUAGAGUGCGGUAGAGGAGAGUGGAAUUCCCGGUGUAGCAGUGAAAUGCGUAGAGAUCGGUAGGAACACCAGUGGCGAAGGCGGUCUCCUGGGGCAUUCUUGACGCUGAGACGCGAAAGCUGGGGGAGCGAACGGG
rnacentral:rRNA from 1 species